UAAUCGUAACAAAACCAAGUUGCCCAAGUGGUUCGGUGAACGCCCAGGCAAGAAGGCCGGAGAACCCAGAGAGCCCUGAGGAAGAGGAAGGUGGCAAGGCCGAUAAGGAGGAGGAUGUAGCACCAGAACCCGAGGAGGAGGAAGGAGGAGGAGGUAGAAGAGGAGGUUGAGGAAGAAGAAGAGGAAGAGGAGGAGGAAGAAGAGGAGGAGGAAUAAACAUUCUCUCGAGAGAACUCAAGAAGUUGGUCGCCACGGAAUUAUAGGGUCGUCCAACUGUCCAUCCUUAACGAA